GACGAACGCUGGCGGCGUGCUUAACACAUGCAAGUCGAACGGAAAGGCCCUGCUUUUGUGGGGUGCUCGAGUGGCGAACGGGUGAGUAACACGUGAGUAACCUGCCCUUGACUUUGGGAUAACUUCAGGAAACUGGGGCUAAUACCGGAUAGGAGCUCCUGCUGCAUGGUGGGGGUUGGAAAGUUUCGGCGGUUGGGGAUGGACUCGCGGCUUAUCAGCUUGUUGGUGGGGUAGUGGCUUACCAAGGCUUUGACGGGUAGCCGGCCUGAGAGGGUGACCGGCCACAUUGGGACUGAGAUACGGCCCAGACUCCUACGGGAGGCAGCAGUGGGGAAUAUUGCACAAUGGGCUGAAGCCUGAUGCAGCAACGCCGCGUGUGGGAUGACGGCCUUCGGGUUGUAAACCGCUUUCGCCUGUGACGAAGCGUGAGUGACGGUAAUGGGUAAAGAAGCACCGGCUAACUACGUG
rnacentral:rRNA from 1 species